GCCCGGUUAGCUCAGUUGGUAGAGCAUCAGACUUUUCAUCUGAGGGCCAUGGGUUCGAGUCCCAUAUCGGGCU
rnacentral:tRNA from 1 species